GACCUGGCUCAGGACGAACGCUGGCGGCGUGCCUAACACAUGCAAGUCGAGCGGAGACAGGGAGUAGCUUGCUAUGAGCUGUUUUAGCGGCGGACGGGUGAGUAACGCGUGAGCAACCUUUCCCAGACAGGGGAAUAACACACCGAAAGGUGUACUAAUACCGCAUAAGACCACGGGAUCACAUGGUUCUGAGGUAAAAGAUUUAUCGGUUUGGGGUGGGCUCGCGUCCGAUUAGGUAGUUGGUGAGGUAACGG
rnacentral:rRNA from 1 species